rnacentral:rRNA from 1 species
UGCCAGCCGCCGCGGUAAUACGGAGGGUGCAAGCGUUGUUCGGAAUUAUUGGGCGUAAAGCGCGUGUAGGCGGUUCGUUAAGUCUGAUGUGAAAGCCCGGGGCUCAACCCCGGAAGUGCAUUGGAAACUGGCGAACUUGAGUACGGGAGAGGAAAGUGGAAUUCCGAGUGUAGGGGUGAAAUUCGUAGAUAUCGGGAGGAAUACCGGUGGCGAAGGCGGCUCACUGGACCAUUUCUGACGCUGAGGUGCGAAAGCUAGGGUAGCGAACGGGAUUAGAUA